rnacentral:tRNA from 1 species
CUAAGGAAAUGGAACCUGUACGUUCGUCUUCUUUAAUUUUGAGAGGUCUUGUGGGGCCUUAGCUCAGCUGGGAGAGCGCCUGCUUUGCACGCAGGAGGUCAGCGGUUCGAUCCCGCUAGGCUCCAUUAACAACGAAUGUUGUUAAGAUUGUCCAUUGAAAAUUGAAUAUCUAUCAAACAUUCCUGAUGUAUAGUAAUAUACAUUAAGAAAUAGUAACAAGAAAAUAAACCGAAAACGCUGUGAAUUAAUGAGUUUUCUAGUUUUCAUAAACUAGGUUAAUAA